GGUGGCUCAGUGGCAGAGUGCUUGCCUAGCAUGCAUGAAGCCCUGGGUUCGAUUCCUCAGCACCA
rnacentral:tRNA from 1 species